rnacentral:lncRNA from 1 species
CACCGAUAUCAGGUGCCACAAAUGUAUAAACAUCUGGCACAACAUUAGUCUCAAGAACAGUUUCCUUCAUAUACUCAUCAAUACAGUAACUAUUGACCUUAGUAGAAGCGUCAACAGCAGAAUUAACAUUUGCAAAAGAAUUUAAAUCAUAUUUCCCUUGAUUAGUAUGCACCAGACAAUGGAGAGAGGGAUACAAGACAUACCUUCUUUCACUUCAACACAAACACACA